rnacentral:rRNA from 1 species
AUUGAACGCUGGCGGCAGGCCUAACACAUGCAAGUCGAGCGGGUGGCGGACGGGUGAGUAAUGUCUGGGAAACUGCCCGAUGGAGGGGGAUAACUACUGGAAACGGUAGCUAAUACCGCAUACCAUCGGAUGUGCCCAGAUGGGAUUAGCUAGUAGGUGGGGUAACGGCUCACCUAGGCGACGAUCCCUAGCUGGUCUGAGAGGAUGACCAGCCAAACUGGGACUGGGACACGGUUCCGACCCCGACGGGAGGCAGCAGGGGGGAAUAUUGCACAAUGGGCGCAAGCCUGAUGCAGCCAUGCCGCGUGUAUGAAGAAGGCCUUCGGGUUGUAAAGUACUUUCAGCGGGGAGGCGUUACCCGCAGAAGAAGCACCGGCUAACUCCGUGCCAGCAGCCGCGGUAAUAC